AGUUCCUGCCAACAGCACAUGAGUCCCGUGACCGACCACCCAGAGGCUAACGAGUCAAUCAGUGGCAAGAGAAUAAAAGUAAAAGUAGAAAAUAAAUGGUUCCAGAUAAACUGUGCCUGAUAUGAACUGAGGAAUAGACAAAUUGGCUGAUUCAAAAGACAUUUGGUCCACUCCAAAUUGAUUCUGGAACGAAAUGUUCAUUUUAUGACAAAUAAAACAUGAUUAACCGAU